rnacentral:rRNA from 1 species
GACGAACGCUGGCGGCGUGCUUAACACAUGCAAGUCGAACGGGAUUUAGUAGACAGAAACCUCGGUGGAAGAUUACUAAUGAGAGUGGCGAACGGGUGAGUAACGCGUGAGCAACCUGCCUAUGACAGUGGGAUAGCCUCGGGAAACCGGGAUUAAUACCGCAUAAAAUCGUAGAAACACAUGUUUUAACGGUCAAAGAUUUAUCGGUCAUAGAUGGGCUCGCGUCUGAUUAGCUAGUUGGUGAGAUAACAGCCCACCAAGGCGACGAUCAGUAGCCGGUCUGAGAGGAUGAACGGCCACAUUGGAACUGAGACACGGUCCAAACUCCUACGGGAGGCAGCAGUGGGGAAUAUUGCACAAUGGGGGAAACCCUGAUGCAGCGACGCCGCGUGAACGAAGAAGGUAUUCGUAUCGUAAAGUUCUGUCCUAUGGGAAGAUAAUGACAGUACCAUAGAAGAAAGCUCCGGCUAAAUACGUGCCAGCAGCCGCGGUAAUACGUAUGGAGCGAGCGUUGUCCGGAAUUAUUGGGCGUAAAGGGUACGCAGGCGGUUUAAUAAGUCGAAUGUUAAAGAUCGGGGCUCAACCCCGUAAAGCAUUGGAAACUGAUAAACUUGAGUAGUGGAGAGGAAAGUGGAAUUCCUAGUGUAGUGGUGAAAUACGUAGAUAUUAGGAGGAAUACCAGUAGCGAAGGCGACUUUCUGGACACAAACUGACGCUGAGGUACGAAAGCGUGGGGAGCAAACAGG